rnacentral:rRNA from 1 species
UACGUAGGGCGCAAGCGUUAUCCGGAAUUACUGGGCGUAAAGGGCCCGUAGGCGGCCAACUAAGUCAGACGUGAAAUCCCUCAGCUUAACUGGGGAACUGCGUCUGAUACUGGAUGGCUUGGAUCCGGGAGAGGGAUGCGGAAUUCCAGGUGUAGCGGUGAAAUGCGUAGAUAUCUGGAGGAACACCGGUGGCGAAGGCGGCAUCCUGGACCGGUAUUGACGCUGAGGAGCGAAAGCCAGGGGAGCAAACGGG